GACGAACGCUGGCGGCGUGCUUAACACAUGCAAGUCGAACGGAAAGGCCCUGCUUUUGUGGGGUGCUCGAUUGGCGAACGGGUGAGUAACACGUGAGUAACCUGCCCUUGUCUUUGGGAUAACUUCAGGAAACUGGGGCUAAUACCGGAUAGGAUCUCCUGCUGCAUGGUGGGGGUUGGAAAGUUUCGGCGGUUGGGGAUGGACUCGCGGCUUACCAGCUUGUUGGUGGGGUAGUGGCUUACCAAGGCUUUGACGGGUAGCCGGCCUGAGAGGGUGACCGGCCACAUUGGGACUGAGAUACGGACCAGACUCCUACGGGAGGCAGCAGUGGGGAAUAUUGCACAAUGGGCGGAAGCCUGAUGCAGCAACGCCGCGUGCGGGAUGACGGCCUUCGGGUUGUAAACCGCUUUCGACUGUGACGAAGCGUGAGUGACGGUAAUGGGUAAAGAAGCACCGGCUAACUACGUG
rnacentral:rRNA from 1 species